AUGGCUAUUUCUAAAGUAAUGUGGGUGUUCUGCCUCCUAGCUUUACUGGCCUUCACUUCUUGUUCCUAUCAUGUACGAGCAGACGAUCAUGCCACCAAAGAGAAAAAUGAGGUGAUGGAGUAUUGCAAGAGGUACAUAUUCAAAAAUUACGGUGAUCAGCAUCCUGACCCCCAUAGGAAAUGUUGCCAAAUAGUAAGAGAAUCGAGAAACAUCCAUGCUAUAUGCCAGAAAUUCAUGCACGCGGAUUUGCAUAAGAUCAGUCUAGCCAAGUGGGCUCAUGUUACAUAUUGGUGCGGCAACGGAUUGCACCCAGGGACUAAUUGCGCAGGUUUCAUCGUUCCAGAUUAUAGUGCGCCACCACCUCCAGAACACUCAGCGUAA
rnacentral:rRNA from 1 species